GAGACUUUUGUACUGGAGCUAACUCUGGUCUGGUUUCUCAUAGAUAUCCACCUGCUGCUUCUGUUGAAAUGGCACAAACUUAAGGGCUUUGAUUCAUCCUCGUCUGGGCUUAAGAGAACCAGUG
rnacentral:lncRNA from 1 species